UACGAAGGGGGCUAGCGUUGUUCGGAAUUACUGGGCGUAAAGCGCGUGUAGGCGGGGCUUUAAGUCAGGGGUGAAAUGCCAAGGCUCAACCUUGGAACUGCCUUUGAUACUGGAGACCUUGAGUCCGGGAGAGGUGAGUGGAACUGCGAGUGUAGAGGUGAAAUUCGUAGAUAUUCGCAAGAACACCAGUGGCGAAGGCGGCUCACUGGCCCGGUACUGACGCUGAGGUGCGAAAGCGUGGGGAGCAAACAGG
rnacentral:rRNA from 1 species